CUGUAAAGCCAGCAUGUCGUAAGUUAGAUAUAUCAAGGAAGCCUUUUCGGUUUGAAAAUAUAGGGUACUCUUAUACUGGGAUUGAUGAUUUGAUUAAGAAGUGGUGAGUUGAAACCCCUUCUUCUGAAGAUGGAGCAGCUAAUAUGGUUCUCAAGCUCCGUUACCUAAGGACUAAAAUGGAGCAAGCAAGUUGUGGGUAAUAUUAUCGAUAGGAAGGAAACCUCAUCAACUCAAAUCAACAGUUUGGAUGAGCUAGA
rnacentral:lncRNA from 1 species